ACUACUAUGAACCAAGACCUAAUGGCCACCUAUUCCCUAUAUAGUGCACUACUAUGAACCAAGACCUAAUGGCCACCUAUUCCCUAUAUAGUGCACUUCAACAGAGUGGGGAAUAGAGUGUCAUUUGAGACGCAAACUGCAAAUAGACAACAGCCUUCCUCCGGGGGAGGAGUCGGCUUUCUCCUAACUCACCUGGAUGUUACAGUUUGUCAGGUUCAGAGAACCCUGUUGACCAAUAAAAAGGGUCCUGGAUGUUACAGUUUGUCAGGUUCAGAGAACCCUGUUGACCAAUACAAAGGGACCUGGAUGUUACAGUUUGUCAGGUUCAGAGAACCCUGUUGACCAAUAAAAAGGGACCUGGAUGUUACAGUUUGUCAGGUUCAGAGAACCCUGUUGACCAAUAAAAAGGGACCUGGAUGUUACAGUUUGUCAGGUUCAGAGAACCCUGUUGACCAAUAAAAAGGGUCCUGGAUGUUACAGUUUGUCAGGUUCAGAGAACCCUGUUGACCAAUAAAAAGGGACCUGGAUGUUACAGUUUGUCAGGUUCAGAGAACCCUGUUGACCAAUAAAAAGGGACCUGGAUGUUACAGUUUGUCAGGUUCAGAGAACCCGAUUGACCAAUAAAAAGGGACCUGGAUGUUACAGUACUCUAAGAAAGUGAUUACUACACACCAUCAUUACAGUAUGUUUUAGGAGUGUUGACAGAAUGAUGUAACCAACCAUUUAUUUUUAUACAAAUUGGGCAACAUCUUGUAUUUUCCUGAAAUGUAUACAAAAUACAGUUCUGAGAUCAUUUUUAGUGAGAGCAGAAUUGGUGGAAAUGACAGAAUGCCAACUAGUUCUGGAUAAAUCAACAAAAUGUUUAAUUUUUUUUAGCUAGAUGUGGAGUUUUUUAAAAAUGUAGCGAUAAAUUAGAUCAAUCCUGAACUGUGAGAUGUAGUAGGGAGUUGUAAUUUCCAACAGGCCAACAUUGUACAUAGUUUACCGCAGAAAACUUGGUAAUUAACUACAAUGACUAUAAUCUUUCCCGCUGAGAGAAGAGAGAAGCACCGAUCGAGGGA